GACGAACGCUGGCGGCGUGCUUAACACAUGCAAGUCGAACGGAGUGGCGAACGGGUGAGUAACACGUGGUUGACCUGCCCUGCACUUCGGGUUAAGCCUGGGAAACUGGGUCUAAUACCGGAUAGUGGGGGAUGGGCCCGCGGCCUAUCAGCUUGUUGGUGGGGUAAUGGCCUACCAAGGCGGCGACGGGUAGCCGGCCUGAGAGGGUGGACGGCCACAUGGGGACAGAGCUACGGACCAGAAUCCUACGGGAGGCAGCAGUGGGGAGUUUUGCACCAUUGGCGGAAGCCUGAUGCAGCGACGCCGGGUGGGGGAUGACGGCAUUCUGGUUGUAAACGCCUUUACCCUUUGACGCGGUAGAUGGAGAAGACGCACCGGCUAACUACGUGCCAGCAGCCGCGGUAAAAC
rnacentral:rRNA from 1 species